rfam:Mycobacterium wolinskyi strain CDC_01 Contig_29, whole genome shotgun sequence.
CGUGGGAUUGGGGAUGAAGUGGUUGACGGUCCCGCCCAUCACCGCGAGGGUCCGCUUACCGUCCUGGACCAUCUGCACGCCACGGCUGCGGAACUCCUU